rnacentral:rRNA from 1 species
AUUGAACGCUGGCGGCAGGCCUAAUACAUGCAAGUCGAGCGCGAAAGGCCUUCGGGCUGAGUAGAGCGGCGGACGGGUGAGUAACGCGUAGGAAUCUACCCGGUAGUGGGGGACAACUUGGGGAAACUCAAGCUAAUACCGCAUACGCCCUAAGGGGGAAAGCGGGGGACCUUCGGGCCUCGCGCUAUCGGAUGAGCCUGCGUAGGAUUAGCUAGUUGGUGAGGUAAAGGCUCACCAAGGCGACGAUCCUUAGCUGGUCUGAGAGGAUGAUCAGCCACACUGGGACUGAGACACGGCCCAGACUCCUACGGGAGGCAGCAGUGGGGAAUAUUGCGCAAUGGGGGCAACCCUGACGCAGCCAUGCCGCGUGUGUGAAGAAGGCCUUCGGGUUGUAAAGCACUUUCAAUGGGGAAGAAAAGCGUAGCGUUAAUAGCGGUGCGCCGUGACGUUACCCAUAGAAGAAGCACCGGCUAACUCCGUGCCAGCCGCCGCGGUAAGAC